rnacentral:rRNA from 1 species
GAUGAACGCUGGCGGCGUGCCUAAUACAUGCAAGUCGAGCGAACGGACGAGAAGCUUGCUUCUCUGAUGUUAGCGGCGGACGGGUGAGUAACACGUGGAUAACCUACCUAUAAGACUGGGAUAACUUCGGGAAACCGGAGCUAAUACCGGAUAAUAUUUUGAACCGCAUGGUUCAAAAGUGAAAGACGGUCUUGCUGUCACUUAUAGAUGGAUCCGCGCUGCAUUAGCUAGUUGGUAAGGUAACGGCUUACCAAGGCGACGAUGCAUAGCCGACCUGAGAGGGUGAUCGGCCACACUGGAACUGAGACACGGUCCAGACUCCUACGGGAGGCAGCAGUAGGGAAUCUUCCGCAAUGGGCGAAAGCCUGACGGAGCAACGCCGCGUGAGUGAUGAAGGUCUUCGGAUCGUAAAACUCUGUUAUUAGGGAAGAACAUAUGUGUAAGUAACUGUGCACAUCUUGACGGUACCUAAUCAGAAAGCCACGGCUAACUACGUGCCAGCAGCCGCGGUAAUACGUAGGUGGCAAGCGUUAUCCGGAAUUAUUGGGCGUAAAGCGCGCGUAGGCGGUUUUUUAAGUCUGAUGUGAAAGCCCACGGCUCAACCGUGGAGGGUCAUUGGAAACUGGAAAACUUGAGUGCAGAAGAGGAAAGUGGAAUUCCAUGUGUAGCGGUGAAAUGCGCAGAGAUAUGGAGGAACACCAGUGGCGAAGGCGACUUUCUGGUCUGUAACUGACGCUGAUGUGCGAAAGCGUGGGGAUCAAACAGGAUUAGAUACCCUGGUAGUCCACGCCGUAAACGAUGAGUGCUAAGUGUUAGGGGGUUUCCGCCCCUUAGUGCUGCAGCUAACGCAUUAAGCACUCCGCCUGGGGAGUACGACCGCAAGGUUGAAACUCAAAGGAAUUGACGGGGACCCGCACAAGCGGUGGAGCAUGUGGUUUAAUUCGAAGCAACGCGAAGAACCUUACCAAAUCUUGACAUCCUUUGACAACUCUAGAGAUAGAGCCUUCCCCUUCGGGGGACAAAGUGACAGGUGGUGCAUGGUUGUCGUCAGCUCGUGUCGUGAGAUGUUGGGUUAAGUCCCGCAACGAGCGCAACCCUUAAGCUUAGUUGCCAUCAUUAAGUUGGGCACUCUAAGUUGACUGCCGGUGACAAACCGGAGGAAGGUGGGGAUGACGUCAAAUCAUCAUGCCCCUUAUGAUUUGGGCUACACACGUGCUACAAUGGACAAUACAAAGGGCAGCAAAACCGCGAGGUCAAGCAAAUCCCAUAAAGUUGUUCUCAGUUCGGAUUGUAGUCUGCAACUCGACUACAUGAAGCUGGAAUCGCUAGUAAUCGUAGAUCAGCAUGCUACGGUGAAUACGUUCCCGGGUCUUGUACACACCGCCCGUCACACCACGAGAGUUUGUAACACCCGAAGCCGGUGGAGUAACCUUUUAGGAGCUAGCCGUCGAAGGUGGGACAAAUGAUUGGGGUGAAGUCGUAACAAGGUAGCCGUAUCGGAAGGUGCGGCUGGAUCACCUCCUUUCU